rnacentral:rRNA from 1 species
GACGAACGCUGGCGGCGUGCUUAACACAUGCAAGUCGAACGGUAAGGCCCUUCGGGGUACACGAGUGGCGAACGGGUGAGUAACACGUGGGUGAUCUGCCCUGCACUUCGGGAUAAGCCUGGGAAACUGGGUCUAAUACCGGAUAGGACCACUGCCUGCAUGGGUGGUGGUGGAAAGCUUUUGCGGUGUGGGAUGGGCCCGCGGCCUAUCAGCUUGUUGGUGGGUUGAUGGCCUACCAAGGCGACGACGGGUAGCCGGCCUGGGAGGGUGACCGGCCACCAUGGGACUGAGAUACGGCCCAGACUCCUACGGGAGGCAGCAGUGGGGAAUAUUGCACAAUGGGCGCAAGCCUGAUGCAGCGACGCCGCGUGAGGGAUGACGGCCUUCGGGUUGUAAACCUCUUUCAGCACCGACGAAGCGCAAGUGACGGUAGGUGCAGAAGAAGGACCGGCCAACUACGUGCCAGCAGCCGCAGUAA